UGGGGGAUAUUGCACAAUGGGGGAAACCCUGAUGCAGCGACGCCGCGUGUGGGAAGACGGUCUUCGGAUUGUAAACCACUGUCUUUGGGGACGAUAAUGACGGUACCCAAGGAGGAAGCUCCGGCUAACUACGUGCCAGCAGCCGCGGUAAUACGUAGGGAGCAAGCGUUGUCCGGAUUUACUGGGUGUAAAGGGUGCGUAGGCGGCUUGUCAAGUCGGUUGUGAAAGCCAUGGGCUUAACCCAUGAACUGCAAUCGAAACUGAUGAGCUUGAGUGAAGUAGAGGUAGGCGGAAUUCCCGGUGUAGCGGUGAAAUGCGUAGAUAUCGAGAGGAACACUCGUGGCGAAGGCGGGUUCCUGGACAUUAACUGACGCUGAGGCACGAAGGCCAGGGUAGCGAAAG
rnacentral:rRNA from 1 species